rnacentral:rRNA from 1 species
UACAGAGACUGCAAGCGUUAUUCGGAUUCACUGGGCGUAAAGGGUGCGCAGGCGGCCAAGUGUGUGAGGCGUGAAAGCCCGGGGCUUAACCCCGGAAUUGCACCUCAAACUACAUGGCUAGAGCAUUGGAGAGGGUAGCAGAAUUCAUGGUGUAGCAGUGAAAUGCGUAGAUAUCAGGAGGAACACCGAAGGCGAAGGCAGGUCACUGGACCGUUAUUGACGCUGAGUCGCGAAAGCCGGGGGAGCAAACAGG